GUUCUUUUGUUUAUAUAAAAGAUCUGGCCUGCCCAAUGAAAAUUUAAUGGCUGCAGUAUUUUGACUGUACAAAGGUAGCAUAAUCAUUUGUCUUUUAAUUGAAGUCUGGAAUGAAUGGUUUGAUGAAAAAUUUACUUUCUUUAUUUUAAAUAAAUAAUUUAAUUUUUUAAUUAAAAAGUUAAGAUAUUAAUAUAGGACGAGAAGACCCUAUAGAACUUUAUUUUGAUAAAAAUAUAGAAUUUUGUUAAUGAGUUUUUGUCUUUUUUAAGAAAUUUUGUUGGGGUGACGGAAAAAAAUUUUUAACUUUUUUUUAUUUUUUCAUAAAUUUAUGAUUUUUUUGAUCCUUUACUAUGGAUAAUAAGUUUAAGUUACCUUAGGGAUAACAGCGUUAUUAUUUUAGAGAGUUCAUAUCGAUAAAAUAGUUUGCGACCUCGAUGUUGGAUUAAAAUAAGUUUCAGGAGUAGAAUAUUGAGUAUCUAGGUCUGUUCGACCUUUAAAUUUUUACA
rnacentral:rRNA from 1 species